rnacentral:rRNA from 1 species
UACGUAGGGGGCGAGCGUUGUCCGGAUUCAUUGGGCGUAAAGCGCGCGUAGGCGGCCUGGCAAGUCGGCCGUGAAAUCUCCGGGCUCAACUCGGAGGGGUCGGGCGAGACUGCGGGGCUCGAGGUGGGCAGAGGGCAGUGGAAUUCCGGGUGUAGUGGUGGAAUGCGUAGAGAUCCGGAGGAACACCAGUGGCGAAGGCGGCGGCCUGGGCCUGGCCUGACGCUGAGGCGCGAAAGCGUGGGGAGCGAUCCGGAUUAGAAACCCCAGUAGUCC